rnacentral:rRNA from 1 species
GAUGAACGCUGGCGGCGUGCCUAAUACAUGCAAGUCGAGCGAACAGACGAGGAGCUUGCUCCUUAGACGUUAGCGGCGGACGGGUGAGUAACACGUAGGUAACCUCCCUAUAAGACUGGGAUAACUUCGGGAAACCGGAGCUAAUACCGGAUAAUAUUUCGAACCGCAUGGUUCGAUAGUGAAAGAUGGCUUUGCUGUCACUUAUAGAUGGACCUGCGCCGUAUUAGCUAGUUGGUAAGGUAACGGCUUACCAAGGCAACGAUACGUAGCCGACCUGAGAGGGUGAUCGGCCACACUGGAACUGAGACACGGUCCAGACUCCUACGGGAGGCAGCAGUAGGGAAUCUUCCGCAAUGGGCGAAAGCCUGACGGAGCAACGCCGCGUGAGUUAUGAAGGUCUUCGGAUCGUAAAACUCUGUUAUUAGGGAAGAACAAAUGUGUAAGUAACUGUGCACGUCUUGACGGUACCUAAUCAGAAAGCCACGGCUAACUACGUG